UGUCGUCAGCUCGUGUUGUGAAAUGUUGGGUUAAGUCCCGCAACGAGCGCAACCCUUAUCCUUUGUUGCCAGCGGUCCGGCCGGGAACUCAAAGGAGACUGCCAGUGAUAAACUGGAGGAAGGUGGGGAUGACGUCAAGUCAUCAUGGCCCUUACGACCAGGGCUACACACGUGCUACAAUGGCGCAUACAAAGAGAAGC
rnacentral:rRNA from 2 species